rnacentral:lncRNA from 1 species
UUUUUCUUUUUUUUCUUUUUCUUUUUUUUUCUAUUUUUUCAAAGACUCAUUGGUCUUUAUGAGGUGUCCCAACACUAUUAAAGAGAGGUUAAAGGUGUCAAAUUAUGAUUUCUCAAGCUUAGAGGGUGAGAUAGUUUCACAUCUUAUAACCGGAAUCUAAUGUAUGUGUGUGCGAAUAGCUUAAGGUGGAAGAGAUAAGUUUGCAUGCAAUGGGAGUUUUAACAAUUCAUCAACUUUUAGAAGAGCAUAAUACAAACUCUAAGAUUCAUGUAAUCAAGUUGAAACUCGAAUUCUCUCAUUUAAUUUUGAGAGUUA